AAUAGAUACCCAGGUAGUCCACGCCGUAAACGUUGGGCGCUAGAUGUGGGGACCAUUCCACGGUUUCCGUGUCGCAGCUAACGCAUUAAGCGCCCCGCCUGGGGAGUACGGCCGCAAGGCUAAAACUCAAAGGAAUUGACGGGGGCCCGCACAAGCGGCGGAGCAUGCGGAUUAAUUCGAUGCAACGCGAAGAACCUUACCAAGGCUUGACAUAUACGAGAACGCUCUAGAAAUAGAGAACUCUUUGGACACUCGUAUACAGGUGGUGCAUGGUUGUCGUCAGCUCGUGUCGUGAGAUGUUGGGUUAAGUCCCGCAACGAGCGCAACCCUCGUUCUAUGUUGCCAGCGGUUCGGCCGGGAACUCAUAGGAGACUGCCGGGGUCAACUCGGAGGAAGGUGGGGAUGACGUCAAAUCAUCAUGCCCCUUAUGUCUUGGGCUUCACGCAUGCUACAAUGGCCGGUACAAAGGGCUGCAAUACCGCAAGGUGGAGCGAAUCCCAAAAAGCCGGUCUCAGUUCGGAUUGAGGUCUGCAACUCG
rnacentral:rRNA from 1 species